GUGAACUGUCUAAAAAAUUUUUAGCUGAAGUCAGUAAUAGGCAAUGACAUCACCUGUUUGUUAAAGGGCAUAAAAAGUAAACUCUUAAAGGUUUCAUUGCUCAUACCGGCCUGAGCAGGUGGGAGCUGACCAACAGGGGUCUAAGCACCUCUGAGUUUAGCCUGUUCAUAAGUAUCUUCAUCGAA